UGACCCCCGUCGUGUUUGUGAUUGGCAGAUGCUCUUCGACCCAACGCUUAUUGAAAGGGAGCCUUCACUGAUUUUGGUGAGCAAGUUCUGCUUGUACAGAAAAGCCUAAAGAAAUCAUAAGGUGCCCACCUAUUUUUUUGGUUCAAAGAUCUUUCAACACUGCACUGUGGCGGGGGUCCU
rnacentral:other from 1 species